UGGUAGAGUACUGAGGUGGUAGAUUACUGAGGUGGUAGAUUACUGAGGUGGUAGAGUACUGAGGUGGUAGAUUACUGAGGUGGUAGAUUACUGAGGUGGUAGAGUACUGAGGUUGUAGAGUACUGAGGUGGUAGAGUACUGAGGUUGUAGAUUACUGAGGUGGUAGAUUACUGAGGUGGUAGAGUACUGAGGUUGUAGAGUACUGAAGUUGUAUAGUACUGAGGUGGUAGAGUACUGAGGUUGUAGAGUACUGAGGUUGUAUAGUACUGAGGUGGUAGAGUACUGAGGUGGUAGAUUACUGAGGUGGUAGAGUACUGAGGUUGUAGAUUACUGAGGUGGUAGAUUACUGAGGUGGUAGAGUACUGAGGUUGUAGAGUACUGAGGUUGUAUAGUACUGAGGUUGUAUAGUACUGAGGUGGUAGAGUACUGAGGUUGUAGAGUACUGAGGUUGUAUAGUACUGAGGUGGUAGAGUACUGAGGUUGUAGAGUACUGAGGUGGUAGAGUACUGAGGUGGUAGAGUACUG